AUACGGAGGAUCCGAGCGUUAUCCGGAUUUAUUGGGUUUAAAGGGUGCGCAGGCGGGAGAUUAAGUCGGCGGUGAAAUUUUGCAGCUCAACUGUAAAAGUGCCUUCGAUACUGGUUUCCUUGAGUGUGGAUGAAGUAGGCGGAAUUUGUGGUGUAGCGGUGAAAUGCUUAGAUAUCACGAGGAACUCCGAUUGCGCAGGCAGCUUACUAAACCACUACUGACGCUCAGGCACGAAGGCGUGGGGAUCAAACAGGAUUAGAUACCCUGGUAGUCCACGCAGUAAACGAUGAUUACUGGCUGUUUGCGAUACAAUGUAAGCGGCUGAGCGAAAGCGUUAAGUAAUCCACCUGGGGAGUACGUUCGCAAGAAUGAAACUCAAAGGAAUUGACGGGG
rnacentral:rRNA from 1 species